GAUGAACGCUGGCGGCGUGCUUAAUACAUGCAAGUCGAGCGAAAGGACGCGAAGCUUGCUUCUCUGAUGUUAGCGGCGGACGGGUGAGUAACACGUGGAUCCCCUACUUAUAAGACUGGGAUCACUUCGGGACACCGGAGCUAAUACCGGAUGAUAUUUUGAACCGCAUGGUUCAAAAGUGAAAGACGGUCUUGCGGUCUCUUCUCGCUGGAUCCGCGCUGCAUUAGCUAGUUGGUAAGGUAACGGCUUACCAAGGCAACGAGGCAUAGCCGACGUGAGAGGGGGGUAGGCGACCCUGGAGCUGAGACACGGUCCUGAGUCCUGCGGGAGGCAGCAGUAGCCAAUCGGCGGCAGUGGGGGAAAGCAUGACGGAGCGGCGGCACGCCAGUGAUGGAGGUCUGCGGAGCGGAAAACCCUGUUAUGAGUGAAGAACAUAUUUGGAAGGAGCUGAGCACAUCGUGACGGUACCUGAUCAAAAAGCCACGGCUAACUACGUG
rnacentral:rRNA from 1 species